GAUGAACGCUAGCGGGAGGCCUAACACAUGCAAGCCGAGCGGUAUUUGUUCUUCGGAACAGAGAGAGCGGCGCACGGGUGCGGAACACGUGUGCAACCUGCCUUUAUCUGGGGGAUAGCCUUUCGAAAGGAAGAUUAAUACCCCAUAAUAUAUUGAGUGGCAUCAUUUGAUAUUGAAAACUCCGGUGGAUAGAGAUGGGCACGCGCAAGAUUAGAUAGUUGGUGAGGUAACGGCUCACCAAGUCAAUGAUCUUUAGGGGGCCUGAGAGGGUGAUCCCCCACACUGGUACUGAGACACGGACCAGAAGCCUACGGGAGGCAGCAGAGAGGAAUAUUGGACGAGGGGUUAUCGCCUGAUCCAGCCAUCCCGCGUGAAGGACGACGGCCCUAUGAGUUGUAAACUUCUUUUGUAUAGGGAUAAACCUACUCUCGUGAGAGUAGCUGAAGGUACUAUACGAAUAAGCACCGGCUAACUACGUG
rnacentral:rRNA from 1 species